GUGAUUUUAUUAGACUGAAUUCCCCCUUUUGACCAUCACAAUGAACAUUCAAUCAACCAACACGUCCAUUCAAGUCCUUUUAUUACAUCACAAAUACAAAAGCUGCAGUCACAAAUGAGCAUUUACUUCAAUAUCCUUCACAUGAGAAGAGCUUUAGUUCGUGAGACAGAACACAUUGUUCUGCUCCAGACAAAUAUUGAUUAUAGACUUGGAAAGGAAAACUCAACAUUUGUAUUUUUACAUGCCUCUCACUUUAUGUUCACAGACAAAACAAGCAUUUCAGCUAGUAAGAGAUGUGAGCAUAUGAUCUUUAAUGUGAACACAUGUAUCCUGUGUGGGAUGAACAUAAGCGUGUGUGUGUGUGUGUGUGUGUGUGUGUGUGUGUGUGUGUGUGUGUGUGUGUGUGGAAGUUGUGCAUGUGUCGCCGCGGGCAUCAGUGUCAGUGCGGUGGGGGCUCCAGCGGUGACCCAGAUCUGAUUAUUACUGCUGACAGCAGAUUCUUCUGGCAUCUUUGUCCCUGACCAACCAACUGUGACAUGCACACACACACUACACAACACUACACAACACUACAUAACACUACACUGACAUCUCGUGUGUAUUGUGUUCAAAUGUCAUACAUGACCAAUACAACAAUAAUGAUACAUAACACAUGUUGGAUACGUUUGUUAAGUGUUGAAUGUUCAGUUCUGCUAUUGUUGGGGUUUAUUACAGGUUUUAUUAGUGGUAUUUAAUAAGUCAAGCAUUACCGUUAUCCCGUAACGUAACUGUGAUGCUCCUGUUCCAAAACCGGCAUCUCUGGCAUGGGAGGUGGGGGCGCUAACAAGGAGGCUAAAGGCUACAGCGCCAAGCGUCAGUCGCUAGUGCACCUCUUGAGGUGAGGAGAGUGAGGUUUAUACACAUCGCACAGCUAUCUACCAGCUGGCGCCCGUUACACUCACCCCCCUAAACCUCACUCCUAUCCGGGUCACGGCACCAUUUUGAGGUCCUGUUCCUCCCGCUCCAUACGGGACUCGAACUGGUGCUAACAAGGAGGCUAAAGGCUACAGCACCUAGCGUCAGUCGCUAGUGCACCUCUUGAGGUCAGGAAAGUGAGGUUUAUACACAUCGCACAGCUAUCUACCAGCUGACCACCGUUACACUCACCCCCCUAAACCUCACUCCUAUCCGGGUCACGGCACCAUUUUGACACUCCUGUUCCUCCCGCUCCGUACGGGACUCGAACUGGUGCUAACAAGGAGGCUAAAGGCUACAGCACCUAGCGUCUGUCGCUAGUGCACCUCUUGAGGUCAGGAAAGUGAGGUUUAUACACAUCGCACAGCUAUCUACCAGCUGACCACCGUUACACUCACCCCCUAAACCUCACUCCUAUCCGGUCACGGCACCAUUUUGACACUCCUGUUCUACCUGCUCCAUACGGGACUCGAACUGUCGCUCCAGCCCCAAGAGAGGUGUGCAAGUACUUUAAUAAGCUGAUCAGACUUAUGAUUUUCAUUUUCACUGCUAAAAUACAAGACAAUGGGUGCAUCGUCAUUUCAUCCAAAACAUGGGGCAUCCUGGCUAAUACGGGACUCACACUGAAGGAGGGACUUCAGCUAUAUCUAGAGACCAUAAUACUAUUUGAUUUGGGUUAGUAAGAAACUACUCAGCAACCAACCAGAACACCCUAGUAACCGCGAUAGAAACGCUCUCAGAACCACUCACAACACUCAAGCAUCAUGGCGGUUUGGCAUUGGCACACACAUUCUGCAGAAAUAUCAAAAUCUGCUCUGUAGAUUCUUUUGGUUAGAACUUUAAAAUCCAUAAAUCAUUUAUAGAUAAUGCAUCUCAAGUGCACUAUAGAGCUGGAGCUCAAAUCUGAUGCUUAACAAUUACACACACUCUCAGUGUGUGUGUCUGCAUGUGUAUAUUGUAUGUGUGAGUGUAUAUGUGCGUGUGUGAUUGUGUGUCUGUGUGUGUGAGUGUUUGUGUGUGUGUGUCUGCAUGUGUAUAUUGUGUGUGAGUGUGUGUGUGUGUGUGUGUGUGUGUGUGUGAGUGUGUGUGUGAGUGUGAGAGUGUGUGUGAGAGUGUGUGUGUGUGUGUGUGUGUGUGUGUGUGUGUGUGUAUUUGUUGAGCAGGAAGAGGCGUGACAGUGUUUGAAUGUUAUACACUUACACAAAACAAUUUCACUAGCACUCUGUUAUAAUGACAAAUGUGUGUGUGUGUGUGUGUGUGAGUGUAUUGUGUGUGUGAGUGUGUGAUUGUGUGUGUGUGUGUGUGUGUAUUGUGUGUGUGAUUGUGUGUCUGUGUGUGCGUAUUAUGUGUGUGUGUCUGCAUGUGUAUAUUGUAUGUGUGAGUGUAUAUGUGUGUGUGUGAGUGUGAGUGUGUGAUUGUGUGUCUGUGUGUGUGAGUGUUUGUGUGUGUGUCUGCAUGUGUAUAUUGUGUGUGUGAGUGUAUAUGUGAGUGUGUGAUUGUGUGUGAGAGUGUGUGUUUGUGAGUGUGUGAUUGUAUGUGAGAGUGUGUGUGUGUGUGUGUGUGUCUGUGUGAGUUUGUGAUUUUGUGUGUGUGUGAUCGUUUGUGUGUGUGUCUGCAUGUGUAUAUUGUAUGUGUGAGUGUAUAUGUGUGUGAGUGUGUGAUUGUGUGUGUGUCUGUGUGAGUUUGUGAUUGUGUGUGUGUGUGAUCGUUUGUGUGUGUGUGUGUGUCUGCAUGUGUAUAUGUGUGUGUGUGUGAGUGUAUAUGUGUCUGUGUGUGUGUGUGUGUGUGUCUGUAUGUGUAUAUGUGUGUGUGUGAGUGUAUAUGUGUCUGUGUGUGUGUGUGUGUGUGUGUGUGUGUGUGUGUGUGUGUCUGCAUGUGUAUGUGUGUGUGUGUGAGUGUAUAUGUGUCUGUGUGUGUGUGUGUGUGUGUGUGUCUGCAUGUGUAUAUUGUGUGUGUGUGAGUGUGUGUUUGUGAGUGUGUGAUUGUGUGUGUGUGUGUGUGUGUGUGUGUGUGUGUGUGUGUGUGUGUGAUUGUGUGUGUAUUUGUUGAGCAGGAAGAGGCGUGACAGUGUUUGAAUGUUAUACACUAUUACACAAAACAAUUUCACUAGCACUCUGUUAUAAUGACAAAUGUGUGUGUGUGUGUGUGUGUGUGUGUGUGUGUGUGUGUGUGUGUGUGUGUGUGUGUGUGUGUGUGUGUGUGUGUGUGUGUGU